GAUGGGGGGCGAAAGGUUGCCCCCGAAUUCCGGCAGCCUCUCUACCAAUAAGGGUCUGGGCCGCCACAGACCUGGACUCUCUUCUCGUGCGUUUAGUUUUUUUUUCCUGUUCACAUCUCACGAGCUCCAGUGCUUCAAAAUGAGUUUUUUUUUUUUCUGUUCCUUACACGUUGUGGGAGUGCUGCGGUGCCGCACUCCCCUCUCUUGUUUUUUUUGGUGUAUGUUUUGUUUUGGGUCUCCAAGUUUAUGGUGGUUGCGGAAGGUCGUCCCCCUCUUUUGGUGUAGUUUGCGGUGGCGGAGCGAGCUGGAACAAGAUCCAUAUUCAGUGGGUGUGAUCGACUAUAAAGAUAACACUCAGGUUGUAGAUGCCAUCAACCAUGGUGACUUACCGUGGAAGUGCUGGCGGUCAGAGCAUCGCAAAAUUUUCUAGACGUGGGUGCUAAGUGGCAAAGAGAGCUCUGGUUCCUUCGUUGUCUACGGCGGCGUACAACAACCUUGUUCCUUCUUCAUGUUGGCGGCUGCUACUUGGGAGCGGAAUCUCUCUUGGUUGGUUGUCAAUGGUACAACGAUCUGUCUAGGCUGUUGUGUGAGUUGCUGUUGAAGCCGUCGGACGCCUGGUUCUUGCAAGAAUUAUGGUUGGAGCCCUGAUCUCAUCAAGCAGCAGUUCUAAGCAACUUUGUUUCUGCCCCUUUUUGGUUCUGUAUUGUAGAAGCUAUUCCAGGUAAGAGGCGUAGUGCCACUGAAGUUCGGCUCUUUCUGUCGUUGUUGCUUAUGCUUGUGGUGCGGAGUGAUUGGCAAAGGUCUCGCAAAGUGCGUUGAGGGUGUAUUCACAACAUCACAUUUGGCUCUGCUUUGGCGUGCUUCGUGAUUGGUGAUUGAUAGUGCUUGAGAGCACCUAGCGCGGUAGUUCGACAAGCUGCAAGUAUAAUUAAGAGAGCUACCAAGGUUAAGACGGAGUAGAGUGAUACAAUUCAGACUACAUUGCUGGAAGAGGAGUCCAUGCACGGUGGUCUGCAAUCAAGGCCUACGCUGCCGACGUCCAUCCUUCUCCAAACGAUUUACAAUGCAAUUUAUAAAGAAUGCAGUAGGUAUCGAAGUGGCUGAAGUUGAAAACGAAUCCACUUGAACUAAAGCCUAUAAAGUAUUGAUUCAGGUGGAGGCUCUUGACGCGGGUGCGAUCCAUGUGUUUACAAUUUCGCGUUAGUUAUCCAUCAUCAGGUUCAAGUAGGCCUUGAAGUUGGCGUUUCCUAUCAAGAUAGGCUAGGCAAUAAUCUGGACAUCAUUGGGUGGUGUAUGGUCUGAGUUGGAGUGUCACUAACUCAGUUCAUUUAUCGUUUCGGUACCAAUUCGACACGCGAGUUGAGCUGCAGAGGCUCUCUCGAGUAACAAUCAAUUUCCACGGUGGUGCUAUGGAGCUUUGGAGGGCUUCUAUCAACAGGGUUUGACCACAUGGGAGCUGGGAAGGAACCGAUAAAAAGAGCUAGAAGCAUUCAGAAGGAAACAUUGCCUGAACAACGUAUAAUGAAACAGUGAAAGAUGGGGUGAAUUAGGUUUAAGUUGAAUGAACUUAGGGUCAAAGUAGAUGAAAAAUUAUAGAUGAAUAUUGAAUUAACUUGGAUGAUUUUUCAUUCAUGGAUGAGAAUUUAUUUGUGGAUGAAAAUUCAUUCACAAAUGAAGCUUGUCAGUA